GACGAACGCUGGCGGCGUGCUUAACACAUGCAAGUCGAACGGAAAGGCCCUGCUUUUGUGGGGUGCUCGAGUGGCGAACGGGUGAGUAACACGUGAGUAACCUGCCCUUGACUUUGGGAUAACUUCAGGAAACUGGGGCUAAUACCGGAUAGGAUCUCCUGCUGCAUGGUUGGGGUUGGAAAGUUUCGGCGGUUGGGGAUGGACUCGCGGCUUAUCAGCUUGUUGGUGGGGUAGUGGCUUACCAAGGCUUUGACGGGUAGCCGGCCUGAGAGGGUGACCGGCCACAUUGGGACUGAGAUACGGCCCAGACUCCAACGGGAGGCAGCAGUGGGGAAUAUUGCACAAUGGGCGGAAGCCUGAUGCAGCAACGCCGCGUGCGGGAUGACGGCCUUCGGGUUGUAAACCGCUUUCGCCUGUGACGAAGCGUGAGUGACGGUAAUGGGUAAAGAAGCACCGGCUAACUACGUG
rnacentral:rRNA from 1 species